rnacentral:rRNA from 1 species
GAUGAACGCUGACAGAAUGCUUAACACAUGCAAGUCUACCAAGAAUCACUUCGGUGAGGAAUGGUGGCGGACGGGUGAGUAACGCGUAAAUAAUCUGCCCUUUAGACUGGGAUAUCCUUUGGAAACGAAGGUUAAUACCGGAUAUUAUGAGAUGGACGCAUGUUCAACUUAUGAAAGCUAAAUGCGCUAGAGGAGGAGUUUGCGUCCCAUUAGCUAGUUGGUGAGGUAAAGGCUCACCAAGGCCACGAUGGGUAGCCGGCCUGAGAGGGUGAACGGCCACAAGGGAACUGAGACACGGACCUUACUCCUACGGGAGGCAGCAGUGGGGAAUAUUGGACAAUGGACCAAAAGUCUGAUCCAGAAAUUCUGUGUGCACGAUGAAGGUCUUCGGAUUGUAAAGUGCUUUCAGUAGGGAAGAAAAAAAUGACGGUACCUACAGAAGAAGCGACGGCUAAAUAUGUGCCAGCCGCCGCCGUAA